GUGGUUAUAGUUCAGUUGGUUAGAGCGUCAGAUUGUGGUUCUGAAUGUCGUGGGUUCGAGUCCCACUAUCCACC
rnacentral:tRNA from 1 species